UGGGCGCUUAGAACAUUAUUUUUUUUAAAGAAGAAGCAUCGAUGGAGGAGUCCGUUGGGGCGGGAUCCGGCUUGCCUGCUCCCUCCCCAUGCUUCCAUCCGUGCUCCCACUUCAUCCUACGGCUGUCUUUUUUUCUUUUUUCUUUCUAAUCUAAUCAUCUUCCCCCUUGAUUUUAAGGGGGUGGGGCCGAGUCUUAUUUUGUUCCAAUCAAAUCAAGCCACAUACGCGGGAGCACGGAUGGGAACACGCGCAGGGAGCAGGCAAGUCUCGUCAACAGACGACCCAUGAACGCCUAUUUGAGUGCUACCGUAGUCAGCGGAGGAUUUUUAGCGCUCGUUAGAAAGGGCCAUGCAAGCGAAAAGGAGUCCAUGCGCCUGACGACUGCCUUGGCAUCAAUGCCAGGUAGAAUCCUGGGAUCGAUCGGGAUUUAAUCAAAACGGACAGGAAAUAGCGCCUGCGUUGUAGAUGCCCUUAGCAGCCUAAUAAUAAUCACUAUUUAUUGGGCUGGACACGGCCCAUUUGUUAUUUAGAUCGCUUCGCUCGGAUCGGCGGAUCUCGCGAGAUUUGGUCGGUGGUUGUCUUUGGUGGAUCCGCUCGGAUCCGGUCUUUGUUCGUCGUUGUUCAUGUGUCUUCAAGUUGGAUCCUUCUGAUUUAAAAUUAUUUUCAUCGGCGGCGGUUGCUAUUCUGAGGCAUUGGUCGUAUGGGACCUUAGCACGACAACUUCUCGACUGUCUGCUACAACAAAUUGUGCCCGGCUCCGGCGAGGGAGGGCGAUGACGGUGGAGCGCCUUCGGCUCACUUCAGUGAUUGUAGUCGUCGCUAUGUGGUCUAUGAAUCUGGAUGUAAUUUUUAUUAUUUUUGGUGUUUGUUGUACUGUCAUGAUUGAAGAUUAAUAGAUCGAUAGUUUCCGCAAAAAGAAAAAAAAGAUCGCUUCGCUGAUGCUCUGUUUUCUCCUCUUGUCUUUUGCUUUCCUUAUUAUCAUUUCAUUUGAAAGUAAUUUUGUAUUGUUAAAAAUUACUCCAUCCGUCCCAUAAUAUAAAAG
rnacentral:lncRNA from 1 species